rnacentral:lncRNA from 1 species
AAUAAUGAUUCACAAAGGCCCAAUUAGCCCAAUAAUACCCUAAGGCCGGUCAUUUAGAGAUGGAGUGAGUUUUGGACUUAUUUACAAGUUUGCCACUCCAAUGAAUUAAGGUAUAAAUAUGACUGUAUAGCCAAAAUUCAUUUAGGGUUUUCUUUUGGGGAAAGGAUGAGAACGUAAGCUCUCCUUUCUCUCUAAAGUGGCCGG